AGACAUUUGGUGUAUGUGCUUGG
rnacentral:piRNA from 4 species